AAUUCAAGGAAAAAUGUA
rnacentral:miRNA from 1 species